rnacentral:rRNA from 1 species
AGAGUUUGAUCCUGUCUCAGGACGAACGCUGGCGGCGUGCUUAACACAUGCAAGUCGAACGGUGAAGCCCUUCGGGGUGGAUCAGUGGCGAACGGGUGAGUAACACGUGAGCGACCUGCCCUUCACUCUGGGAUAACUAUCGGAAACGGUGGCUAAUACCGGAUAUGACGCAUCCAGGCAUCUGGUGUGUGUGGAAAGUUUUUCGGUGGGGGAUGGGCUCGCGGCCUAUCAGCUUGUUGGUGGGGUGAUGGCCUACCAAGGCGACGACGGGUAGCCGGCCUGAGAGGGCGACCGGCCACACUGGGACUGAGACACGGCCCAGACUCCUACGGGAGGCAGCAGUGGGGAAUAUUGCGCAAUGGGCGGAAGCCUGACGCAGCGACGCCGCGUGGGGGAUGAAGGCCUUCGGGUUGUAAACCUCUUUCAGCAGGGAAGAAGCGGAAGUGACGGUACCUGCAGAAGAAGCACCGGCUAACUACGUGCCAGCAGCCGCGGUAAUACGUAGGGUGCAAGCGUUGUCCGGAAUUAUUGGGCGUAAAGAGCUCGUAGGCGGUCUGUCGCGUCUGCUGUGAAAACUCGGGGCUUAACUCCGGGCCUGCAGUGGGUACGGGCAGACUAGAGUGCGGUAGGGGAGACUGGAAUUCCUGGUGUAGCGGUGAAAUGCGCAGAUAUCAGGAGGAACACCGGUGGCGAAGGCGGGUCUCUGGACCGUAACUGACGCUGAGGAGCGAAAGCGUGGGGAGCGAACAGGAUUAGAUACCCUGGUAGUCCACGCCGUAAACGUUGGGCGCUAGGUGUGGGGCUCUUUCCACGAGUUCCGUGCCGCAGCAAACGCAUUAAGCGCCCCGCCUGGGGAGUACGGCCGCAAGGCUAAAACUCAAAGGAAUUGACGGGGGCCCGCACAAGCGGCGGAGCAUGCGGAUUAAUUCGAUGCAACGCGAAGAACCUUACCAAGGCUUGACAUGGGCGGUAAUCCGGCAGAGAUGUCGGGUCCGUAAGGGCCGUUCACAGGUGGUGCAUGGUUGUCGUCAGCUCGUGUCGUGAGAUGUUGGGUUAAGUCCCGCAACGAGCGCAACCCUCGUUCCAUGUUGCCAGCACGUUAUGGUGGGGACUCAUGGGAGACUGCCGGGGUCAACUCGGAGGAAGGUGGGGAUGACGUCAAAUCAUCAUGCCCCUUAUGUCUUGGGCUUCACGCAUGCUACAAUGGCCAGUACAUAGGGCUGCGAGACCGUGAGGUGGAGCGAAUCCC